rnacentral:rRNA from 1 species
CCCUUAGAUGUUCUGGGCCGCACGCGCGCUACACUGAUGCAUUCAACGAGUUUCUUCCUGGUCCGAGAGGAAUGGGUAACCUUUUGAAAGUGCAUCGUGAUAGGGAUAGACUAUUGCAAUUAUUGGUCUUCAACGAGGAAUUCCUAGUAGACGUAGUUCAUCAGACUGCAUCGAUUACGUCCCUGCCCUUUGUACACACCGCCCGUCGCUCCUAUCGAUUGAAUGCUCAGGUGAGCCAUUCGGACUUUCAUCAUGCUGGUUUCCAGUUUUGAUGAAGGAAAGUCUUGCGAACCUUAUCAUUUAGAGGAAGGAGAAGUCGUAACA